CUAAUCGCCCUUUUCUCGUCUCGUCCCAUACCAACCAUCAGCCGCCGCCGCCACUCCACCUUCCCUCCUCGCGUCUCUCCAUGUCGCCGCCGGCGGCGCCGGCGUUGAACCACCAUGCGCCAGGCCCCUCCCAUCCAGCCCACACCAGACCCCUCCCCGUCUACCUCACUCCAUGCCCCUUCUCAUGCAGAUCGCGCCCUCGAGCUGCGGCGGCUCAGUCCUGCAUCUCGAGAUGAUGCGGCCAUGGUGGCGGCGGGGCCGACUGCCGGGUUUGGAACCCCCUGAUGCCGGCGGCGGGCACGGAUCCAGCUCCAUCCAGUGGCUGAGACACACACGCGUGCUUCUCCUUGAAUGGUUAGUGGCAAAUCUGAGGGGAACACGGACGUGUCCUUCAUGCAGGAUGAUGCACCGGCCGCAUCGAUUUCAACUGGUAUUGCUGAAGCUAUCCACGAGAGCCAUUUCCUCUCCUACACAAUUCCUGUUAUAGGAACUAAAUAUCUCAUGACAAAGUCACGCACAGGGGCAGCUCCUUGCAAUGUACAGUGCAGUGCCUGAUCUAGUACAUAUGUUGUCCCAAUGGAUAUGGGCAUUUACAGCUGAUUUGAGAUCCUUUUCGAUAUAGCUACUAUCACUAUCACCAGGAGGAUAGUUUCGAAAAUGAAGCCUGCUAGGUAUAGCAGAGAAGUAAAUGUAUGACGGUGAUGUCGAUUGUUGGCUGCCAGUGUGAACCAGCAAAUAUGCCGAGAUGAUAGGCAGUUGAUGGAAGCGUCCAAGUCCAGCCAGGUUAGCAAGUCGUGAAUCUGAACACCCCUGUUUCAUAAGUGCACUCUAAAUGAUGUUGUUGGCCUGAAAUUGAAGGUCAAUUAAUCUGUAUACCAUGUGCUUCCUGGCAUCCUUGCUGCUAGGAAACUGAAUUUGUAUAGCACUAGGUGUCUG